CCUAUAUUAACUUAGCAAACUCUUGACAAAGAAAUUUAUUAGUAGCACGGAAUAUGAUAUUAUCUAUAUAAAUUUGUACUACUAACAAAUCAUCAUUUUUUUUUCAAAAAUAAGAUUUUAUUAACAUGUUCUCUAGUAAAUUCAUUAUCAAAUAGAAAUUUGCUUAAUUUUUCAUAUCAUACAUGAGGGGCCUAUUUUAAACCAUAUACUGUCUUGUGUAAUUUAUAAACAUGAUCGAAAAAAAUGUG
rnacentral:lncRNA from 1 species